CGUCGGGGGCGGUGGCCGCGGGGGGCGGCGGGGGGGGCCCCGGAGCCUCGGGCCCCCGCAGCGGAGGUACCGCGGGCUCGGCCAGGCCGGACCCCAGCGCGACACCGAGCCCCGAGACCCCUAUCCCCGGUAGGGUGUCCCAGCUGGCGGCCCCUUCCCGCAGGGGAAGGGCGUGACGGUCCCGCGUGGCGGGGCGAGCUCUGAGCCGUGUGCCGGCGUCGCGCCUCGCUUCGAGGACACAGAAGCUGGUCUAGGUGGACCCUGGAACUGGGCAUCAAAGCUGGUUGUACUCUAUGGACCUGUUAGAAUACGGAAGAGGGCAUCCACAUCAAUUAAAUAUAGUAUUUCUCUCCCAGAGCUUUACUGUUUCAUCAGCUUGCAGCAACUAAAGAAAAUAUUCUUGAGAUAAAAAGUAACAAAGCAUUUGCAGAGAAAGAAAUGCAGAGGUUACAAAAUCCACCAGCAGUCAAGAACCACACUCUGGCAGGGGCACAGCAAGGACUGAGCCUGAGAGUAGUUCACGGGAUGUUAACGUUACUGCAGACAAAGUAACACUAACCACUGUGCCAUCUUUGGAAAGUCAGUGCAAAAGAGACAUGCUGAGACAUACAUCGUAUUGUCUUCACCAAGUAAGUUGGUAAGGACAGCUUCCAAAUAAAGCUUCAGAAGGAGGAUUGAGUUCUGCACUCCUCAGGCUGCUGGGAGUGCCUGGAGCCUUUCACUGGAGCGAGAGCAGUGGGAGGUGGUCUCCUAGCCUGCAGGAGACGUGCCAUUGUUGAGAAACUGUCACCAUGAGAAGAUGUCACCAGGGUGUGCAGCAACACAAGAAAAAAUGUUUUUAAGG